rnacentral:tRNA from 1 species
GGCGAUUUGCGGGAGUUUUGCAAACUCCAGAAACGUCCAGCACACUAUCGCACUGCCUUCACACGGCAGAGGUCGCUGGUUCGAAACCAGCAUCGCCCA